rnacentral:lncRNA from 1 species
AUAUAGUCGGGUAAGAACAAAAAGAUACUUUGGUAAUGUGGAUGUAGUUUUCAUGGGCUAACAUUUGGUCGAUGCUCAGCUUUCUAAACGCAAGGCUUGAGUUGUACACACUUUUGAAGUGUCACAAUGAGUAGCAAAGUUUAUCACUUAACCUAUUUCGCGCACCCGUCAUCUCCACCGUCAAUUUUUUUUUUUUUUUCUUCGAGUCAAAAUCGACCGGUGUAUCACCCGGGUGCGCUGUAUAAUUUUCAUACUUAUCACCAAAACAGAGGCAAUCCCUAAACACAGGAUCGUCCUACUAAUCUGGGGCUUGUCCUUUCCGAAGGAUAUAGAAAUUACGUGUUGGUGUUGAAAAUGAUAGAGCGGUGAGAAAGUGGCCAAGUGUGAGUGGUGGGUCAAUAAAAAUCAAAGGUUGGGAAAGAUCUUGGAAAUCAAAGAACAAGAGGAGACUAGACUAGUCAAGUUGGUAAUGGUAACUGGGUACCUUCUUGCCUAUAUAAACCCCACUCUCAUUCCUAUUUUGCAUGUCUAAUUCAACUCACUAAGCAAGCAUUAAACACUCACUCACUCUCCCACCGCCAUUUUGCUUGAAGCAGAAACUUCAUUUAAGUUCUUUCUGAAUCUGUGAUUCUUGUUUUGUGUGUGGUGAGCAGAGCUCAUAACUAUAGGCUCAAGUUUCAUUGAGGAACAACUGAACAAGACCCACUUCUUUCUUUAACAGUAGGACUUGUUUAGCUCUGCAUAUUACACUUCUGAAAACGGUUGUGUUCUGUGUUGGUGUCUGUCUGUAAAAGAUGGGUGAUAACAAGAACCAGAUGCUUCAACACAACCAAGUUUUUGAUGUCUCAGUCAAUAUGCCGCCACAGGGAGGCUCCAAGUGCUUUGAUGAUGAUGGCCGUCUCAAAAGAACUGGUAACUUUUGCUUCGCCGACACUGUGAAUAUGCUGAAGUCUUAGCCUUCUCUAUGGUAGAUUUGGUAGUAAUUGUUUGUGUGGUUUAUGAAACAGGAACGGUUUGGACUGCAAGUGCUCACAUUAUUACUGCUGUAAUUGGAUCUGGGGUUCUAUCCUUGGCUUGGGCCAUAGCUCAGCUUGGAUGGGUGGCUGGCCCUGCUGUCAUGUUCUUGUUCUCUUUGGUGACUUACUACACUUCAACUCUGCUCUCUGCUUGCUACCGCUCCGGUGAUUCUGACACUGGAAAAAGAAACUACACUUACAUGGAUGCUGUUCAAUCCAACCUAGGUACAUUUUAAACAGCAGUUUUAUCUAAAUGUUUGAAAAAGGUCGUGUCUUUUCCUCAAAACUUGUUAAGUUCAGAGAUUUACUGUGGAAAUCUCAUUUCCCAGGUGGAGUAAAGGUCAAGAUUUGUGGAUAUGUUCAGUACUUGAACCUUUUUGGAGUUGCCAUUGGAUACACUAUAGCAUCAGCCAUUAGCAUGAUGUAAGUGUCUAUUCUAAAUCAUGAACUUAGUGAUGUAAUGUUUUACUCAAAAUAAUUUAUUUAGGCUAAUGGGGUUCUGGUGUGGUAAACAAACAGGGCAAUCAAGAGGUCUAACUGCUUCCACAAAAGUGGUGGUAAAGAUCCAUGCCAUAUCAACAGCAACCCCUACAUGAUUGCAUUUGGCAUAGUAGAAAUCAUAUUCUCUCAGAUUCCAGACUUCGAUCAGUUGUGGUGGCUUUCCAUUGUUGCUGCAGUCAUGUCCUUCACUUACUCGACUAUUGGACUUGGCCUUGGAAUUGCUAAAGUUGCAGGUACAACAUCCAGCUCUAUGCUACACUUAAGAUGUGGAGGAGCUUCACUUUAAGCUGAAAUCAGUUGCUUGUGUUACAUAAAUUGUUCUUGUAAAGCUGACUCAAACUUAAUAUUUGUGGUAUUAUCAGAAACUGGAACCAUCAUGGGAAGUAUGACUGGAAUAAGCAUUGGAACUGUCAGUGAAACUGAAAAGAUGUGGAGGAGCUUCCAAGCUCUUGGUGACAUAGCUUUUGCCUACUCUUACUCUCUUAUUUUGAUUGAAAUUCAGGUAUAUAUCUCAUUUGCCUAGAGCAUAAUUAUUAUAUUAUAUUUCGUAGUGAAUUAUGCAUGUAACUAACUCAAUAUUGCAAAACAGGACACAGUUAGAUCUCCACCAUCUGAAGCCAAGACAAUGAAGAAGGCCACUACAAUUAGUGUAGCAGUGACAACCCUUUUCUACAUGCUAUGUGGCUGCAUGGGCUAUGCUGCUUUUGGAGACUUAGCCCCUGGAAACUUGCUCACUGGUUUUGGCUUCUAUAACCCAUAUUGGCUCUUAGACAUUGCCAAUGUUGCUAUAGUAGUCCACCUUGUUGGUGCAUACCAAGUCUACUGCCAACCCUUAUUUGCUUUUGUUGAGAAAGCAGCAGCGAAAAAGUACCCGGAUAGUGAAUUUAUCUCGAGAGAAAUCAAAAUCCCAGUUCCCGGUCUUGGCCAUUGCAACCUUAACCUCUUUAGAUUGGUGUGGAGGACUGCCUUUGUGAUUGUGACCACUGUAAUCUCUAUGCUCCUCCCGUUCUUUAACGAUGUGGUUGGACUUCUAGGGGCUGUGGGAUUCUGGCCAUUAACUGUCUACUUCCCAGUUGAGAUGUACAUUGCGCAGAAGAGGAUACCAAAGUGGAGCACAAGAUGGCUUUGCCUUCAAAUCCUAAGUGUCGCUUGCCUCAUUAUAACCAUAGCUGCUGCUGCUGGCUCAAUUGCUGGGGUGAUUUCUGACCUCAAGACCUAUAAGCCCUUCAAGACCAGCUACUGAUUCAUCAAGAGUUAACCAGUUCCUUCCUUAAUCAAGGAAAGAGAUUUGGUCAUUAGGGUCAAGUCCUCCUCAUGUUCAUAUAACUAAAGCCUCAAUUGGUGAUGUUGUUGUUAGAUGUUGUUCUGUAUGUGUUGUUUUUUACUAUCUUCAAGUGAAGGAAAGGCUUUGGCCAUGUAUGUAUUUCUCCAAAAUUAAUGAAGAGUAUUUCCCAAGAUACUUUGCCUAUUUUCUUCACACAAUUAACAAUUCUAUAUCAGAAUGAAUUCCAUUUCAUCAAUUAGAUCAUCCCCGCCACUUCAAUUUCCAUAAGUAGAAAAUUGCAUCUUCAUAGGAACCGCUGAGAGUGCAUAGUCCACUCACAAAGAAAGAAUCAAACAGGGUGAACAUGAGCCGUCCAAUGAUUCAAACUUCAUGUGCUGCAGAUUUGAGAAAUGAUCAGUGAGAUAUCAUAGUUAACUUAUCAGAUGGUGUCUCUUCUAAGCUAGAGACCCUUUGGUUCCUAGGAGGCUAGGACCUAAAUGAUACUGUUGCGAAAGACGUCUAUGCUUCUGAUACAGAAGACAGAAGAGAUGGGCCUGUGUUACUUACAACUAAUAACAGCACUAAAGACCAAAGAAUCAUUGACUUCCACUAGAAAUGAAAAAGGGAGGUCAAGAAAUUAUUUACCUAAUAACCAAACCUAACCAGGUAACUUGGUUACCUGCCUAUUGCCAGCUAGGUAGGUUUAUCCAACCUCAUCACUAUAAUUUGUAGGUAGAGAAAAGAUUCAACUGACCACAAUUGGGGGAAAUGAUCCUGAUUUCUGAAGACUGACAUCCAUCUGCAUCAUCCUGAUAAAGAAUUGAAUUCAGAGUCCCACACGAACAGAAUCGCCAUGCUGACAUGUUUUCCAAAUGCAAUGAAUCAGUUAAAGUUAUGCACAGAUUGCUAAUUUGCUAUAUCAAAAUAGACAAGUGUACACGUUUUAGUGAACAGCAAAAGGGGGAUUAGCUUAACUAAAAGUUCGAUCUGGAUUCUGGAUUCAUAUAGAUUCUCUUAGACAAUUCAAAAGGGUAUGAAAAAGGUGAAAGUUAUAUAAUGGCUGUGCUCAUGAAAUUCUUGACUCAUUGAAGUUAGAAAUAUGAAAGGGGUGAGGAAACAUCCUAGCUUCUUGGUGAUGAUGAUGAUGAUGAUGAUGCAUGAAGAGUUGGAAAUAUAAAUUAUUAUAGGCCGUUUUUCUCAAUCCGACCAUAUAAUAUAUCAUUGAUAUUUUAGAAGGCAAUAUUUACACAUGUUCAUACUGUGUGAUCAAAGUUAGUGGGAAGUCGGCAGCUCCGGGCCGCCAGCUGAGGACUGAGGAGUGAGGACAGCAAGUGGUAGGUCCUCUGCUUCACCAUGGGUGCUGCUAUACAGUACUUAUCGAUUUUCACGUAUUCUUUGGUAAAACUAAGCUGCUACUGAACUUUAGUGAGUCGCCUUUGCUGGUGGGAGAAGAUUUAAGAAACAAACUAAAGUGUCCUUAUGUUUUCUAAAAGGGGGAACUAAAAUAUAAUUUCUAAGAUUCAAAAGGAGCAUCUGUAAUCAACUUAUUGUAAACCUACUUACCGAUAUUUCUCCCAGUUUAGCCACCCGGUUAGGAAGAUGGAGCAUCUGUAUAUGGGAUGCUGCUUCUUCAUCAACAGGAUCUCGUAUGGACUUUCAUCGAUGUACAGCCACUUCUGAUGACAAGUCAAGUGAACCAAUUAUUUAUUUUCUUCAAGCAUGCAUGUAAUGUAUCGUUCAGGAAAUCUCUCACCUCUGUAAAUACAUUUUAACUGAUCCUCGGCUUGAUUCCAGAUACUCUGGGUUAAUUUUACACACCCAAUCCAGGUGAUUCAUAUCACAGAUGAGCUGGAGUUGCAAGAUACACAAUUUGGCACCUGCUUCCAAUCCUCAUCAUUAUGCAAACAUCAUUUCUCACACAUCACUUUGGUUACAGUUACCACAGACUUAUUUCAAAAUGUAAUGACACCAUCAAGGUCAAAAAGAACCAAACAUAGAUGCUAUGUUCAACCCAAGAGUUUCCAUACAAAAUAGAUACAAAUUAGGUCAAUAAAACGCCACUACACAGCUCCCAUAGAGGGAGCUUUAGCUUGAGCCAGAAGGCACCAGGACCCAACUUCCCAUAUGGGUUCCAGCCAUCCAAUUUGGUACCACAACGGCACAACAUUACGCUUUAUUUGAGUAACAGAAAAUAUCAAUAACAAUCCCAAAGUGGGGAUUACAUAUAUAGAUUGAUUUCUUAAUGGGGCGUGUAUGUAUCCACUCUAAUUAAUAACCUCUGUGAACACUACUAAUGUACAAGAACGUAACCAGAAGUAGUAUUUGAUACUUACGAUUUUACAGAUCAAAAUGAAGAUUUGUAAAUUUGUGAUAAAAAACAGAAGUGAAAUUCAUCUUGUCAUGCUUUACAGCUAAGGACCAGCAAUACGCACAGCAAAUGCAUCGUCCUCCCCAAUGGGGGGAAAACCUCUCGUGAAUGUUAAAUGGAAGCUCCAAAGAAUAAAUCAUAAGAAUACUAAGAUAGUUCCUCCUUGUUGAACUUGGUCCAAGCUUCCUGUUUCAGUAAGAACCCAUUUUCAUUAAACAUGAAAACAAAUCAGAAAAUGCUAUCUGAACAAUAACCAUCACUAUAGAAAGAAACAAAACAUGCCAAUUUGGUUUGAAUAUCAAUGAAUGAUGGCAAACAGUGAACUAUGGAAAAUUAUUAAUAUAAUAUCAUAGAUAGUAGAUUAUGACCAUCAUAAAAAUAUUCAAUCGUCAAACUCUUUCAGUACAUCAUAGGUAUUAGAUAGUAGAUUACGGGAGGCAGAAACCAUUUCAUGAAGAUGUGAAAAAGCAAAAGCUAUAGUUCUGACUGAACCGUGAAGUUACCUUCAGGACAUCAAAAACCUUCUCCGCAGUAUAUUUUUGUUGAAGACUAGCCCCUUUCUGUUGAACCUUAUCAGGAUGGACAAACAAUGUUGCCUUUCUAUAAACCUUUUUAACUGAGCCAGAAGUAAUCAAAUCUGUAAGUGAAACUGGCUCCCAUCCACAUUCAGGCCAAAGUACCUGUACACCAAUGCAAAAACGAAAAAAUUUAGUUGGUGUAGAAAUGCUUUUUAUGUUAGGAAGGGCAAGAUAAGUGCAAGCUUUAAUUAAUUCAGGAACUAAGGUAAAAAAUCAUUAUACCAGACAUUAAAUAUAAAGAGGGGGUUUUUCCCCAGUUCAAUGUAACAUUUAUUUCCCAGUCUCAAGUCUCUGAACCACAAAUAACAAGACCACAGAGUUCUUCACAGUUUGCUUGAUCUCUCAAGCAAAUGCAAGAAUUUACAGAGGGUCUCACAUGGAUGCCCACCACAAGACAUUGCCUAACAAUGCACAUUCACAAUAUCACAAUUACCCAAUGAACGCAAUCAGCCGAAUUAUGCUCUCUCAACAAUAUAUUUAAGGGGACUACUAUGUGAAAUAACAUACAUAUUGCAAUGAAGACAAUAGUGCACGCAUAUUCCCUUCUUUCCCUGCAGCCCAGCUCUUGAUUUUAGUAUCCAUACUCUCAGCAAUUCUCUGCAAAGUGAAAUGCAAAACACAAUUAGUUACUACAUAUAGAAAGCUUGAUGACACAAAGAAACAGUGGUAUUAGAAAUCUGUAUACAAGCACAACAUAUAGUCACUCCUGUACCCUAAUGCAGAAGAUACAAUUAAUUUUUUUGAGAAAGAAUCCAACCCGUUUAUAAAGAAUUCUUAUACAUAUAACAGGAUAAAUGCAUCCACUGCCAAGGCAAUGUCUGAAAUACUACUUACACGCCUCUCUUCCUGCUCCUGCUGAGUACGAAAAUCGCGUUGGUUCAUAUCUGCCACUGCUUGCAACUGAAUAAUAACAAUUAGAACUGUCAAAGUAUGCCAGCAAUACAUAAAUAGAGAAUUAAAGACAAUAAUUAUGAAAAUUAAUAGGUCAGAUACCGCUCUAUCAAAACUACUCGCUAUGUACUACAAACCUAGCAUCAAGGUGAAGACAUAAACACCAGUCAACUGCUUGCAAGUAACUUACUAACCUAUGACUGUGUAUUUGACAACAUUAUGCUCAUAUUAUAAGAUCGCAGAAGUAGUGCAUGUAACAUCUGGACUGCUUGAUUGAGGGAAAAGGAACUAAAGAUCAUGGAAUGUCAGGGCCGUUAAUUAUGUGAAGUGCAUUGUUGUAUCUCUAUUAUAGUAAACGUCAUCUCUAUCUGCUCCCUCACUUUUGGUAAUAUAGUUUAUAUGAAUCAUUGGCACUUAUCAAACAGAGAGAGAGAAGAAAAAUUGGGGAAAUUAUGAGAAUGGAAAAAUACGAACCGCACGCGCUUUUGUUCUCUGGUGCCGUCCCAACCUGGCUUUUCGUCUUUCUUCACUUUCACCUUCAACUUCCUCAAAUUCCGCAACCAUUGAAGAACCUGAUGCAAACAAAAAACACCAUAGAAAUCAGCAUAAAGCAAGAAAGGACAUGCAUAGUUGCUCCUGUGAAGUCGAACCAAAUAAUUAAUUACCUCCAUCCAUUGAAAAGAGAUCAUCAAAGAUACCACUUGCAGAAGGGGACUUCUUCAUGCUACCUGAGGUCCUAGAAGAUGUCAUUUGGGGCCUAGGCCCUCCUCUGUUGUCUGUCUGUGCAUCAAAUAUUGGGUCCUGGAAAGUGCAUCAGUAAGCAACCAACAUAUCCGCUGGUGUUGAAAAAUUGCAUAUUUAUGACAUUAUGCUUCUCACCGGUUUUUUAACCCUUGACUUUGGUACACUGCUAGACCGAAAACCUGUGCUGAACAUGAAAUCCAGAUCAUCUCCACUUGAUUUACCAUGUCUGGUGGCUGAAGAUUCUACCCCGUCAUUACGAGAAGGAACUCUGGGAGCACUCUUUGGCACCGUAGCACUGGCAAAUAUCUCAAGAUCAUCUAUAUCUGCAAGUUCAUAACAUUAUUAUGGGAUACAAGUAAUUUCCUUCUAACUCAAGGAAGCAUAAGAACCUUUCUCACCCUUUGAAACUUGUGCUGGUUUUGGGGGUGCUUUCAGUUUUGUAGAACUAUUUGAUGAACCACCCUGUUUUGCACCUCCGGAAUUACUCAUCUUACUGAAUUGUUCCAGUCCUGAAAGAUAAUCUAAAGAAUCUGCAGGUCCUGAACUUGAAACUGAUUCUAAGACCACAAAGGGGUCAACCAUUGGGGAACUGAAGUUAGAUCGAGUCAAAUUAACAGUUGAUUGCUGAGUACGGCUUUCCUGUGUGUAACUUCUGAAUACAAAAUAAGCACCCCAAAUGAGAAACAUUGCAUCAAUUAGCCACACAAAUGACAUAUGCAGAAACUAGUAACCACAUCACGACAUAUCUAUAUAUAAAUUUUCAUAUAAUAAAUAUAACUCUGAUCACAUACACCCAUUUCUUAGAACAAAUCAAUGUACCCACACCCAUUCUAACAAGCAACAUUUUCAUUGUUCUUCCAAAAGUAGCUCACCAACAAUCAGAGAAAGUAAAUGCUGCACGCUGUUGUGACAAUUUGAAUUGACUAGCUAGUUUUAUAUUUCUAUACUAACACAUCUUUAUCGGUCUUUAACAGAAUUCAGAAUAAACUGGCACAUCUAUAUAAUCAAAAUUGAACUAUAAAACAAAGCUAAAAUGCUACAUCCUACACAUUACUGAUCAAACACACAGCAUUUUCCAUCAAACUAGCACAAACACAUUAGCAAAGCUACUUUACCCAUCAGGCAUUUGCUCAACCAUACAUACCCACUAUUGGAAGCACUGGUAACACCAAACCCGGGCAACAAAUCAUCAGAAUCAGUUGCAUUCCUCGCCGCAGUUCCGUACCUAUUCCCAUUUCCAUUGCCAUUGCUAUUCAUACUCUGCAAUCUCCUCCUUACUCCACCAAGAUCACCCAGCAGAUCAUUGCUGGGAGCAGCACUCUGUUUCGGAGCCGAAGCAAACGACCCGAAAAGGUCAUCAUCCUUCACAUUACUAUUCACCGACCCACCGGAGCUCCCAAACACAUCAAACCCGUCGUCAAACGACGACGUAUUGGCACUCGAGCCCGAAAACACGGAGUCCAAAUCAAAGUCGGAGCCUUUUGCGGGUUUAGAGACUCCGCCGCCGAGAAAGUCGUAGCCGCCGAAUCCGCCGGAGCCGGCGGCGUUUUGGGUGGAGCUGGAUUGGGAAAAGAAGCCGUUUUGGUCGUCGAGAAAAGAAGCGUAGGCGGAAUUGGAAUUGGAAUUGGAAUUGGAUUUUGAGGAAGAUGAAUACGACGUCGUUUGGGGGUUGGUGGUGGAACGGGAGGCGGCCAUCGGCGCCGAUUUGCCUUGGGGUUUGAGGCCGAACCUCUCGGUCAAAACGCCGAAGUCGUCCAUAUUGGGAAAUGGGGAGGAAUUGCCGGGAAUUGGAGGAAAAGAUGGGAGCUUGGAUUGGAUUGGAUUGAAGGGGAUUUGGAGGAAGAUGGGAAUCUGGGUGUCUGUGUAAAAUUGGAAGGUGGCGGAGCACAACGUUUGCCACGAAGAUGAAUCAAAUUCUCGGUCUUUUUUUGUUUUUAAGAAAAUGAGUAGGUGCUGUUUCUAAUUCUGUGUCGGUGGGAAAUUUCCAUCGAUAUUCUGUCGCAGAAUGGCAGUGGAGUAAUUUUAGGUGCAAGAAUAAACACAAGGAAAAAAAUAUAAAAAUUUGCCGAAUAAAAUGAUUUUAGGAGUGAUUUCAUAACAUAUCUGUUUAUUUAGGAUUAAAAAGGUCAUAAAAUAAAGCACGAAGCCGAGACAAGUGAAACAGAGAAGAACAAAUCGGUGUGACACAUACAUAACUCCCAUAAGUGGUUGAGUUGGUAAAAGCUUACACACAUGUUUGAAUAUCGCCGACUCUGAUUAGAGUCUACAUCUUAAUACAUUUUGUGUCAUGAGAAAGAAACGUUUUGACAAAACCUCUCGAUACAGAUUAGUAUUGGCCUAAAUUAACUUAGAGGUUACUGUGUUGAAAUGCUCGUCUUGUUAUCAAGUUGUUCAUGAAUCGAUUUCUGAUAAUGAGGUUGAUAAACUCAAAGAUAUAAUAAAUAAAAUGUCACAAGAUAAUAAAUAGUUUUUCUUAUUUAACGAUUAUGUUACAUGUCAUUGCCAUAUUUUUAGUAAAGCAAUCCAACCUCCAAUAAUGCAGUGAUAUAAGAAAAGAGCAAAAAAAGGAGAACUACAUAAGGACAACUUGGAAUUCCAUUGAUACAUCACUAUACACCUAGCAUGACAAUUGUUCCAGUCCACUCACAGCUUAGUGCAAACCUAGUCACAUGAAUCAUUUCAUUACAACGAUUAUUGAAUAGUGAUAUAAACUACAUGGUGGUUCCAGAGUUCCAUAUAAAUCCCAGAUUACUGUCAUUUUGAGGAAGCGGGGGAAGUGCUGGCUGUGCCGCAUGAUGCCAACUUUCGUCGUCAGGCACCCUUCUCUAGUCUCCGUUCAGAGAGAGUAUCAAUGGCUAUGAGUCUAUCGCAGUCUGUCUCGUCAUCACCAAUCGGAAUUUGGCUCCGUUGUGGCUUCUAGUUUCAUUAUCCGGCCGGUAAGAUGCUUCCACCAGUAAGUGCAAAUUACAGACUAGUUUGGUUGGUGAUUGUACUGACCAUGUCCAGGCCAUUUCAUCAAUUGUCAAGUGAACAGUUUUGGUCAAGUUUGAAGCAAACUUCUGUAGAUACUAGUUUGGUUUGGUACUAUAUUGAUCUCAAAUUGAAGAUAUAUAUGCACACAACUUCACAAUUCUUAGAAAAUUGAAUGAAACCAGAUUGAUUGUGGUUUAUAUAUAUGAACUUGAUCCGAUUCAAUUUUAUUCAAUAAAAUCAUGUCAAACUUGAACAUUCCGUCGAUUAUAGAGAAUCAACCCUAACCAAGAUCAAAACACCAAACCGAGGACAAAACAACAAGCACAAAAGUUACAGAAGGCAUCAACCCUAAACAAUGAACUCGUAUCUUCUUGACAACGGAAAUGGAAAGCUCCUUCCUUCAGUCAAAGCCUCAAAGGCCGUCAUCUCCCACUUUAUAGUUUAAACCACGCCAAAUCCCAGCCAAAAACAAUGUUCGAGCAUAUGUCAAUAAACAAAUCCUAAACAAUGUUCCAGUCCUCAAGUUGUCACACUCAGUUUCCUAUACAAAGUAAACGACUUUUCCUAGGAAGAACAAGAACAGAGAGCUAAUUUAAUCCACGACUUGUAAAAUACUAAUCUCAUUUGAAGUGUCAAACACUAGUUUAUUGAACUCCACAUGCCAGAAACAAUAGUUUAUGACUUUGAUUCUUGUUCGUAAGUGGGAACCGGAACCUUUUUUGCAGUUGCUUAACCACUAAACUUGAUUAACAAAACACAGCUUACCGAAAUAAGAAAAUCCUAAACAAAAACGUGCACGUUUGAUUCUUGACCGAUCUAGCAGCCAAGGUUGAACCUUUUCACUGCCCAAACUCAAACUCUAUAAUCCCUCAUCCAAAAUUGUCCAACACCAUUUUCACACAAACAAGCACAUCAACCAAGAUGUGCAGCACCAAACCCUUCACAUUCUCCUCCUCCCUCAUCUUCCUCAUCUCCAUCACACUCAACACAGUUGCAGCUGCUUCAUCAUCAUGCCCCAUAGAUCUGAGCUACGUCACCACCUUCCCAUGGGACACCUCCCUCUGCCUCGCCCCAAACGGCACACACUGCUGCCAAACCCUUCUCAGCCUCUUCGGCAUCGGCCUCUCCCAACACCUCAAGCAAACCUCCACCUUCCAGCUCCCCAACUCCACCGUCUCCGCCGCCUGCCUCUCCGACUUCCAAUCCAACCUCUCCUCCCUCUCCCUCAACUCCACCCUCGUCCCCCUCUGCUUCCAAAACGCCAACCAGUUCGUCGCCAACUCCGCCAGCUGCGCCGGCAUCCUCACCGUCGACGACUGGACCGACAAAGUGGGACCCAUCAGCGCUAUAGACACGUCAUGUAAAGGAGAUCUCCAGGGACUCACCAGGUGUAGCUCUUGCUUAGAUGCAGGCAUGGAUGUGAACAACCAGCUCAGCGGGCUGGGUCCCAACAACACCAAGUGCUUCUAUUUCGCCGUGCUUUACGCUGCGGGGGUAGUGAAUGAGUUGGGCCCGGAGGAUCCGAGAACCGCGGCGUGUAUUCUGGGACUGCCGCUGUCCAGCUCAGCUAACAAGAGUGGGAGUAGUAGUCAGGUGAGCAAGAAGACUCUGCUGAAAUGGGUAUUUGGGGUCUUGGGGGGUAUUGUUGGGAUUUUACUUUCUGUUGGGGUUAUAGUCAUGUACAGGAGGCAUGAGAUGAAAGGGAGGCAGAAUGCUAGGCAUGAAGAGUAUGUGAGUAGCUUUAGGCUUAGUUUGUUGCCUAAUUCUGGUGCAAAGUGGUUUGGGAUAUCAGAGCUUGAGAAGGCAACUGAUGGGUUUGCUCAGAAGAACAUGCUAGGCCAAGGAGGGUAUGGGGUUGUGUACAAGGGCACAUUAGCUGAUGGGACUCUUGUUGCUGUGAAGCAGAUUCUUGAUAUGGAGGCUUUGGAUUCGAAAGGGGAUGAGGAGUUUUCAAAUGAGGUGGAGAUCAUAGGGAAGAUUCGACAUAGGAAUUUGCUGUCGCUUAGAGGGUGUUGUGUUACUAGUGAUGAUUUUAAAGGGAAAAGGAGGUUCUUGGUUUAUGAUUUUAUGACGAAUGGGAAUUUGAGUGACCAUUUGGGUAGCAGUAAGAGGAGAUUGAGUUGGCCUCAGAGAAAGAGUAUCAUACUUGAUGUUGCAAAAGGGCUUGCUUACUUGCACAAUGGGAUCAAGCCUGCUAUUUAUCACAGGGAUAUAAAGGGGACUAACAUACUCUUGGACACGGAAAUGAAGGCCAAAGUUGCAGACUUCGGUUUGGCCAAGCAAAGUUUAGCAGGGCAGACUCACUUGACAACAAGAGUGGCAGGCACUUACGGUUAUUUGGCACCAGAGUAUGCUCUCUAUGGACAGCUUACGGAGAAGAGCGACGUUUACAGCUUCGGCAUUGUGGUUCUUGAGAUCAUGAGUGGGAGGAAAGUGCUGGACACAUCGAAUUCCAGCACGAAUUUGAAUUCAGUUGUUUUGAUCACGGAUUGGGCGUGGAUGCAUACGAAAGCGGGGAGUGUGGAGGAGGUUUUUGAUGAGACAUUGAGGGAGGAAGGGCCAAAGAGUGUCAUGGAGAGGUUUGUGAAUGUUGGGAUUCUGUGUGCUCAUGUUAUGGUGGCUUUUAGGCCUACUAUUUCAGAAGCACUGAGGAUGUUGGAGGGUGAUAUUGAUAUUCCUAAGUUACCAGAUAGGCCAAUGCCACUUGGCACUGAGUCUUAUAGAUCUUCUUUUGGGUAUUCUAGCAUUCAGGAAAUUGAUAGAUCAAGACCCAGAUUUAGUUCUAGCAUUGUAACUCCCAAGUCCUCAACAUAGAUUGAAGAUGUGAACUAACUAGGACACUUGGUAGUUUGGUACGUGUGUUUGUACCAAACUUCUUAGCUGAGAGAUUCUUUUGUACAUUGGUGACUAAAAAAACAACUAUGAUGAAAUUACCCUUCUUUUCUUUUUUUGCUAGUCAAAGUCUCCAUCUUUCUUUGAUUUCUACCAACCCUUUUAGUCAAACUGCUCAAAUGUUGGCGGUUCAUGUUCCCACUCUUGCUGUUGCACGUGUGAUUUUGUCGAACGACACCAAGAAUAACGUCGUUAAUAAGGUAAGGUACAUAAAUAUAGCCCGGGCCCUGCAUGAUCAGUCUUUUGAGAAGCAAAAGGACCCGGAAAGUGGAGAGACACAGCUGCACCUUGCGUCGUGUUCUCCGCCGAAGACGUCGCCGUCUACAGUACGUUUGCUUUGUCACUCUAUUGUCCUUGCUUUCUAGAUUUGUAUGUAUUUAGGAACUUAUAAUUGGGUGGGUUAUUGAGAAAUGGUUACCAAGGAAUUGAUCGAAUUGCUCAUUGUUCAUAAACUAAAGAAGGAUCACCAGCUAAUUUCAAGAAUGAAACUUUAAACAAGGAUCAUUAACUUUAUGUUUGUGCAUAUACAUAUCUCCUUUCAUUCAUUUUAGUGUUCAAUAGAAUCAAUACUAAAAAUUGCGUUAAUCAUCGCUGCUACGGCUCUGGAGUAUUUGCGUUUUGUUGUUGAUACAGCCAUCGACCAAAGUCAGAUCAGAAUUUCAUUUGGAAGAGUAGAAGAUGUAUAGUGAGAUCCAGGAUCAAAUGGGGUAGUGUACUGAGUACAGUGCAGGCUUACCAUGGUUGAUCGAGUCUGAGGCAAAGAUAAUGCUGUAGCAGAUCAUUCAUGUGAGUGCUUGUGAUCCACGAUGAGGGACCAAAGGAUGGUGACUAUAGAUCAAAUUUAGCAUCAUUAUUAUGAGGAAGUAUGCAAGGGAGGGCUUUAAAACAAAGGAUUGAUGCUGGUUGUAAUCCUGAUAUAGUGACAUAGGGCAUCAAGGUUAAUUGUCUUUGCAAGGGGGGGAGGGUGGAGUGGAAGCUAGUGGUUGCAUUGCCUGCAUCUUUAAUUUAUAGCAUUUUGUUGCAUACAUAUGGCCAUACGGGAUCUAAAUAGGAUGGAAGAUGUUGAUUGGUUCUUUCAAUCAAAAGGAGUGGAAUCAAGUUGACCUGUAUUAUGCCUUGACUGGCGCUUUCCGUUCAAGAAUUUAUAUACAGGGUCUUAGGGGAUAUGAAUUACAAAGGUGUUGCACCCAAUUCAAAGACCUGCAACUCCAAUAUCUUCUUCACUAGCUUGCUCGACUGUGGAGAAACUAAUAAAGCAUUAACUUAUUCAUUUGCUAACAAAGUGAUCAGAGUUUGUGAGCUGAUCGAGAUAUAUACAUAGGCAAUGAUGCAAGAGAUAUUCUGUGAGAUAGAUGAAGUAAAGAUGGGUCAUAAUUACAGUGUGAAAGCUAACAGUCUGUCAUGAGCUUAAGAAGCGCCUUCUCUCACUGGCAGAGAUGAUAGAGACGGUUGGGAGGUUAAUAUGGGUGUAGUUGAUGUAGUACGAUGUUCUAGAGCAUGAAGAUAAUAUUUGGCUCCAAUAUGGUGUUUAUGGAAGGAAAUCCCUUAAGGCAAAGCAAGAUCACCAUGCAGAUUAUCCUAUUGGUUUGUGAAGUUGUUAAUCAGGUGUCAUGCUCUAUACUAAUGAAAAUUGCAGCCCCAAUACUUUAGAAUCUACAUUGUAGGUGUACUUGAUCAUAUAAACAUUCAUCAUACUUUAAAACUAGUUAUCUAAAGUACCCCAAAUUAUAAUUUCAGAGGUACAUUGAAGCAUGAUAGCAGAAGAAAACCACUGCAAGUUUUUGUAGAAAUAUUUUAUUAUGAUAUAUUCUUUGCAGUUUGCAAUCCGCAUACAUGUUUGUUGAGCAUAAUGGGAACUAGAAUUGCCUAGAAGAAAGAGAACAAAGCUGAUAAAACCCUCCAUAGGAUGAUGCAUUGAUGCCUAAACACCACAUUCGUUUUUAUUGGUAUUUUUUAUUUGCUAUUUUCUUCCUAUUUUCUCUAUUUUUGUCUUGUGGUGUGAGCAAGAUGCUUUAUUGAGUUAUUCAUGGUUUGCCUCUAUCCAUGAUUUGUUUCUUCUGAGACAAAGUCUUGGUAGCUCUAAGAACAAUUGUGGGGGGAAAUUAAUUAAUGUUCAAUCAAUCUCCAACUUUGAAUCAUGUUGGGAGACUGACUAAUUGACUAGUAGCUGGUGAGAAGAUGCCAAGAUGAUUGAUUAAUUAGUGCAAGAAGCAAGCCUAUUUAGGAGAUUGUUUUUUUUUUUUUAACUGACGACUUUGGUGACCACAAAUAGCUUUAAUAUGAGCUUCAAGUAUUGUUUUAAUAUUAAGUCGGUGUUAGAAAGACUUGACUGAUGUUUUAGUGGAUGGAAAGUGUAGGGAUAAGCGCUUACAUAAAAAAAGAGCAAUCUCAUGAAUUUUGAGACAGAUUCAACUGAUGCAUGUGCAGCAGAAAAGAUAUAUCUUGGUUUAAGGAUAUCAUUUCCCUGAAACUGCAAUUGACCUCUGAUAUGCUUCCCUGCAAGUUCAAUCUCUUGCUAGCUGCUUCCUGAUCAAGCAAUAGAUCUCUCUUCAAAUUACUACUUGUUUCUACCUUGCAUGCUAGUCCUUGCUGAACUCCCAAGAGGUAAUAAAUACUGACUUGGAGAUUCCCUUAGAUCAGAGUCCCAUUGUGUGGUACUGCCUCUUUCCUAUAUUGUAUAUCUGUGUACAACCAAUAAUUGAAUAGGAGCACUAACUGCAUUCUUCUAUAUGAAUAUGGAUUAGCAGGUUACUAAUAUGGCUUCUUCUGCUUCUGCUGCUGAAAUUUACCUCCCUCGAGACAAGUAUGAUGUCUUUCUUAGUUUUAGAGGUCUAGACACGCGCCAGAAAUUUACCAGCCAUCUUUAUGAGGCUUUAAAGCGGAAGAAAAUUGAUACCUACAUGGAUAAUAGACUUGAAAGAGGAGAUGAAAUUGAGCAUGCCCUGGUGGAAGCAAUCGAGCAAUCAAAGAUUUCAAUAAUUGUUUUUUCAGAAAACUAUGCCUCUUCUAGCUGGUGCUUGGAUGAGCUUGUGCAUAUACUGAAAUGCAGGCAAAGAUAUGGACAGAUUGUUAUACCUGUAUUUUAUGAAAUAGAUCCAUCACAUGUACGGAAACAGCAGGGAAGUUAUGCAAGUGCAUUAGUAGCUCAUGAAGAACGUUUCGUGAACAACAAGGAGAAAGUGCUCAGUUGGAGGAAAGUUUUGUCAUCUGUAGCUAAUCUAUCUGGGUUUGAUUCAAAAAAUACCAGGUAUUUAACUUUUUAAUUUCAUUAUUUUAUUAGCUUCUACUUUUGGUAAAUUUGAUCUACAGAAGACUAAUGAUAAUUACCCCAUACUGAUUAAGUACUUAUUUCUGUUCUCCAUAUAUGCUAGGCCCGAGUCUGCAUUAGUUGAGACAAUUGUCAAAGAGGUUUUGAAGAGAUUGAAUUGUAACUCGUCAACUAAUUCGAGAGGUCUCUUUGGGAUUGAAAGUCAGAUUCAACAAAUUAAAUUGUUAUUAUCCAUUCAUGCACAAGAUGUUCCGAUACGCAAUAUAGGCAUUUGGGGAAUGGGUGGUAUAGGAAAGACCACCCUUGCUAAUGAGGUAUUUCUCCGACUCUCUUCUGAAUUCGAUUCUUGUUCAUUUCUUGCAAAUGUUAGAGAAGAGUCAGAGAAAUAUGGCAUACAUCAUGUGCGAAAUAAACUUCUCGGUGAGUUAUUAGAGGAGGAAAGCCAAAAUAUUGGCUCUCUAUCUAUAGGGUCACAUCUUUUACGCAGGUUGUCCCGUACGAAGGUCCUUGUUGUUCUAGAUGAUGUGAACGAUUCAAGCCAAAUAGAAGCUUUACUUGGAGAUCAAGUUGUGUUUGCAUGGGGAAGUAGAAUCAUUAUAACCUCUAGAGAUAAGCGACCACUGAUAGAUAGAGUGGAUGAUGAACAUAUAUACCCGAUGAAGGGGUUGGAGAUUGAUGACGCUCUUCAGCUUUUUCAUUUGAAAGCUUCCAAAGAUGACCUUUCCAAAACAGAUUGUUUGGACUUGUCAGUAAGAGCUGUAGAGAUUGCUAAAGGUAUACCAUUAUUUCUUACAGUUUUGAGCUCCUCAUUUGGUGAUUGCAAAACUAGAGAAGAUUGGGAAGAUGAAUUGAACAGGUGGCAAAACUUUCCGAACAAAAAAAUUGAGGAUAGGUUGAGACCAAGCUAUAAUGGAUUACAAGAGGAUGAGAAGGGAAUAUUUCUUGAUAUUGCAUGUUUCUUUAAAGGAGAAAAGAGAGGGAAGUCAGAAAGAAUAUUACAAAUGCACGGGUUCUCUGCACGGAGGGGAAUUCAAAUUCUCAUCAAUAAGUCUCUUAUAUCAAUUUCCAUGGAUAAUCACCUAGAGAUGCAUGAUUUGCUGCAAGAAAUGGGUCGGUCCAUUGUUCGUGAACAAUGCACUCAUAACUGUGGGAAGCGCAGUAGGUUAUGGAAUGCCAAGGAUGUCUAUCAAGUAUUGAAAAAUAAGAUGGUAUGUGUUCAAUUAAUUCAUUGUCCUUUUUUCUUUUUCUUUUUUCGAAUAGCUCAUUCAUUACAUUCUAAAAAAGAAAAGGCUUAGGCCUUAAACCCCAAUAGACAAGAGUUUGAUUAACCUACAUUUUAUAAAACAACAAACUGAAACCUAGAAACCCAAAAACAACCAAAUUAACUCUAGCUAGAUCUUAAAGCACUGCAUGUAGAGAAGAAAAAAUUGCAAUCUCUGAACUUAGAAAAACAAAAGUCCAGGAACCACUCAGUUACCUCCAGAACCAAAAAAAAAAAAACUCAGUUACCUAUGUGCAUAUAUAAGACUCAUUUCUUCUAACAAAGUCUCCAAAUAUAUGAUACUAUUUAUCAUGCAUCAAUCUCAAAGUUUCAAACUUUUGGAUUUCAAUAGAGAACAAUAAUUGUGGUUAAAUUGUACUGAUCAUGUAGAUCUUAGGGUGAUGAUAUGCUAAAAUGUUUUAGACCUGAUUUUGUGGGAUUGUUUGGUUCUAUAUUUUUUUCAUUUAAUCAUCACAUUUGCAAUCAAAUUUAAAUUUAUUAACCAUUAUGACUGUUUGACAUGAAGUAAUCAAAGUAGGAUUUUAUGAAGUGAUAAAAUGUCUUACUAAUUAUUCCAAUUAAUCCACAAUGGAUAAUCUUUUGGACAACAUGACAUAUACAGUAUAUCUAUAUGUAAAAAUUAUAAACCAGUAAAAAAAAAAGUUACUUGUACGAAUCUAUUUUUGAUAUAUUUUACUUAUGUUGUAUGCUCAUUGAACUUUAUUGUUGAUUCUUAGGGAACUACAAAACUUGAAGCCAUAUGUUCAGACAUAUCUACCAUUGAUCAGGAGUUGCAACUGAGUCCUAAGUCCUUCAAAAAUAUGCACAAUCUAAGGUUGCUACGAUUUUAUGCACAGCCAAAUGUGGACACCAAAAUGCACCUUCCUGAAGGUCUCGACUUUUUACCUGACUACCUUAGAUAUCUAUACUGGGAGAGCUACCCUGCUAAAUCUUUGCCAUCAGAAUUUUCUCCACACAAUCUAGUUGAGCUUCAUCUGCCCAAUGGCAAAGUUAAGAAGCUUUGGAAUAAUAAUGGCCAGGUAACAUCAGUUUUCCUUCUUGAUUAUUAAAGCAGUUAAUGUAGUCAGCGUUUUGGAGCCAAGUUAUUAAUAUAUGUUUUACUUAAUAUGUUGCAGAGUUUGGGGAAUUUAAAGAGGUUGAAUCUUAAAGGGUGCAAACACCUGAUUGAAGUUCCGGAUUUCUCUCAGUGUCCAAAUAUUGAAACAUUAAUUCUCAGCGGUUGUACAGGUUUGGUUCAACUGUAUGUUAAAAAGUUUGAUAAGGUUACUACUCUAAAACUUUCAGGCUGCUCGAGUCUUAAAUUUUAUCCGGAGAUGCCAUGCAAUGUGCAAAACUUAGAUUUGUCUUGGUCUAAGCUGACUGAAGUUCCCGAUCUCUCUCGGUGUCCAAAUAUUAAGAAGUUAUAUCUGAAUCAUUGUGCGGAGUUGGUUCGACUUCCUGAUGGAUAUCUUAAACAUCUUGCCAAGCUUACUACUCUUAAUAUGGCAGACUGUUUAAGUCUUAAAGCUUCUCCUGAGGUACCAAGCAGUUUACAAACCCUAGAUUUGUCUAGGUGCUUUCAACUGAGUGAAGUUCCUGAUCUCUCUCAGUGUCCAAAUAUUAAGAAAAUAGAUCUCUGUUGGUGCACAAAUUUGGUUGAACUCCCAAUAUUAAAAGAUUUUGAAAAGCUUAUUUGUUUGGAACUAGCAGGGUGCUCUGGUCUUAAAGCUGCUCCUGAGUUACCCCGCAAUUUACGACAAUUGGAUUUGUCUUCUUGCUCUCAAAUGAUUGAAGUUCCUGAUCUCUCCGAGUGUGCAAAUAUUGAUGAAAUAGAUUUCAGUCGGUGUUCAAGUUUGGCUCAACUCCCUAAGUCAACAUUUAAAUAUCUUGAUAAGGUUUCUCGUCUGCAGCUGGCAAGGUGCUUGAGUCUUAAAGUUUGUCCCGAGUUACCGCCCAAUAUACGAGAUUUGAAUUUGUCUAAUUGCUGUCAACUGACUGAACUUCCCGAUCUCUCUGGCUGUCCAAAUAUUGAGACUCUAGAUCUCUGUCAUUGUACAAGAUUGGUGCACAUCCCUGAUUCAUAUGUUGGAAAUCUUAAUAAGCUUACUACUAUGUAUCUGGAAGAUUGCUCGAGUCUUAAAGUCUUCCCGAAAAUACCACAAAAUGUAAAGAAUUUGCAUGCGCCUUCUUGCUCUCAGCUGACUGAAUUUCCUGAUAUCAGUGGGUGUCCUAACAUUGAGAGGAUAGAUCUCAGUGACUGUACAAGUUUGGUUCAUGUCCCUCCUUUUGUCAGAAAUCUUGAUUUCUUUCGGUAUCCAAAGAUUAAGAUAAAGCUUCUUGGUUGUACAAGUUUGGACCAACCCCCUUCAAUCAUUCGCAAAUUGUUUUGACAAGCUUGUACAAACUUGUUUGACGCUGUGAGCAAGGUAUGUACCUCUCUGUCUCUGUCUGUCUCUCUCUCUCUCUCUCUCUCUCUCUCUCUCUCUCACUUUCUUCUAAGACAAUAUUCAUAUUAUGACGUCUCACACACGGUACAGGUGGUGCGUGCAUCAAAGGAUUAAGUCAGUCAUUCACCCGUAUGUGAAAUACGCAUGCAUUUUAACAAUUCUGUCUGGGAGAACAUGAAUGAUCCAGUUCCUGCCCCCUGCACUGGGAGGUCUUAAGCGAUGCAAACAGAGGUGGCUCGUCAAGUGGUCUUGAGAAGGCCACUAAUGGGUUUGCUCAGAAGAACAUGAUAGGCCAAGGUGGGUAUGGGGUUGUGUACAAGGGCACACUUGCUGAUGGGACCCUUGUUGCUGUGAAGCAGAUUCUUGAUAUGGAGGCAUUGGAUUCGAAAGGGGACGAGAAGUUUUCGAAUGAGGUGGAGAUCAUAGGGAAGAUUCGGCAUAGGAAUUUGCUGUCGCUUAGAGGGUGUUGUGUUACUAGUGAUGAUUUUGAAGGGAAAAGGAGGUUCUUGGUUUAUGAUCUUAUGACAAAUGGGAAUUUGAGUGACCAUUUGAGUAGCAGUAAGAGGAGAUUGAGUUGGCCUCAGAGAAAGAGUAUCAUACUUGAUGUUGCAAAAGGGCUUGCUUACUUGCACAAUUGGAUCAAGCCUGCUAUUUAUCACAGGGACAUAAACGGGACUAACAUACUAUUGGAUUCAGAAAUGAAGGCCAAAGUUGCAGACUUUGGUUUAGCCAAGCAAAGUUUAGUGGGGCAGACUCACUUGACAACAAGAGUUGCUGGCACUUAUGGUUAUUUGGCGCCAGAGUAUGCUCUCUAUGGACAGCUUCCGGAGGAGCGAUGUUUACAGCUUCGGCAUUGUGAUUCUUGAGAUCAUGAGUGGGAGGAAAGUGUCGGACACAUCGAAUUCCAGCACGAAUUUGAAUUCGGUUGUGCUGAUCACGGAUUGGGCGUGGAUGCAUACGAAAGCGGGGGAGUGUCGAGGAGGUGUUUGAUGAGACAUUGAGGGAGGAAGGGCCAAAGAGUGUGAUGGAGAGGUUUGUGAAUGUUGGGAUUCUGUGUGCUCAUGUUAUGGUGGGUUUUUGGCCUACUAUUUCAGAAGCACCGAGGAUGUUGGAGGGUGAUAUUGAUAUUCCUAAGUUACCAGAUAGGCCAAUGCCACUUGGGACUGAGUUAUAGAUCUUCUUUUGGGUAUUCUAGCAUUCUGGAAAGUGAAAGAUCAAGACCCAGCUUUAGUUCUAGCAUUGUCACUCCAAGUCCCCAACAUAGAUUGAAGAUGUGAACUAACUAGGACACUUGGUUGUUUGGUAUAUGUGUUCGUAUCAUUUCAAUAUUCUUUGAUGAGAGAUUAUUUUGUACAUUGGUGACUAAAACAAGAAAUUGAUGAGAUUACCAUUCUUUUUGUGCUUGUCAAAGUCUUCAUCUUUCUUUUUUUGAUCUCUACCAGCCCUUGGUCAAACUGCUCAAGUUCAUAUUCCACUCUUGCUGUUGCACGUGUGAUUUUGUCGAACGACACCGAGAAUAACGUCGUUAAUGUAAGGUGCAUAAAUAUAUCUCUAUUAUUAUAAAACCAAACGUUCAGGAAAUUCACCAAGUUAUGUUUUGCUUAAACUACCUUUAAUGAAACAACAGACAAAUAAAAACAAGGAUUGUUAUAGUAAAAAACAAAAUAAAAAAUAAAACAAAUUAGAUAAAGAGAUAAACAACACAAAACUAUAUUAUAUAGUUAGGGUAAAUCAAAUAGGUGAUCGUGUUCCUGUGCAUUGGGUACUAUUAUAAAGCCAAGUGUUCAGGAAAUUCACUAAAUUAUGUUUUACCUAAACUACCUUUAAUGAAACAACAGACACAAAUAAAAACAAUGGUUGUUAUAGUAAAAAGCAUAAUAAAAAGAUAAACAAAACAAAACUGUAUUAUAUAGCUAGGGUAAAUCAAAUUGGUGAUCGUGUUCCCGUGCAUUGGGUAAAAGGCUAUUUUAGUGAAGAAGAGUUUGAGGAGAAAUUUUUCAGCGAGGACCACGUGACAGUACGACGUGAUCCUACAUUUUAAUCAAAUAUUGACACAUAGAUUUUAUUAAGAAAAAAAUACAUAAGUUAUUUUGUCAAAGACAAUUUUGGGUUUGUUGUUACUUUUUAAACCCUUAACCCUAAACUCUAAACCCUAGACUCUAAACUCUAAACCUUAGACCCAAAACCCUAACCCUUAAACCCUAAACCCUAAACUCUAACCCCAAACCCUAAACCCUAACCCCAAACCCUAAACCUUAGUCCAAACUCAACAAAGACCUAUGAAGGUCAUUUCACAAAAAAUAGAAAACCUUAAUUUAAAUUUUAGUUAUAAUAAAUCCACAUGUCAAUAUUUAAUUGGAAUGUAGGACCACGUCAUACUGCCACGUCGUCCUGUAGCAUCUAAAAAUUUCUCGAUUUUGAGUUACAGUGCGACGGUUAUUUCGGGAUUGAGAGCUAAAUUUGCUGCGGGGUUUUAUCCGAGUUUGGAUUUUCGGUUAUGGCUAUAAAUUAACUAUCGUUUUAUUGCUUUGGGGAUAUAGUGGCGACGAAAGAGGAGGGGGUGACACGUAUGGGGAGGGUCGACGGACACGUCACGGAUUUAACGGGUCACGGAAUAAGUGUUGGAGAAUAAAUUCCAACAUGGGAUUCUUUCUCUUUUCGUUGAUUGAUGGGAGAAUCAAAAUAACAUUAGAGCAUGUUCACCCGUUUGGUUAGAAUGAAUACAGUGACCUGGGUUACUCUGACUAGGUAGCAGUUUUCACCCGUUUGAAAUGUGAGAUUGCUGCCACGUGGCAGUGAUUGUUUAUUGAAUUAAAAAAAUGGUUUUUAAGUGUGAAUAAUGAUUUUAGUUGUAAAUAAAUAGUAAUUAAACAAUAUGACUUAAUGAAAUUUAAUUUUUUUAUUCCNNNNNNNNNNNNNNNNNNNNGAAAUGUGGUUGGGGAUAUCCACCGGAGAAAGACCCCGACAAAUUUGCUUGUGUCUUCGCUAUCGCCUUUUGUUUUGCUAGCCAAUAAUCUUUUCUAGGCCCUGGCGACAUAGUGCUUGGAUUCAUCUCCAUGAUACGCUCUUCCCUCUCUUGGAUUUGAAUUGCUCAUUCCGCAUAACCAUUUGGAGCCGCAUAUAUUCUCAUUGUUGUUGGUCUUGCAAUUGCCUUGCAUAUGCUUCAUCUCGUUUUUCCCUCGCUGACAAGAUUGAUGCUUGGCUGUUUGUAAGCGUCACGACAGCAGAUGCAACAUGUGAUUCUUCUUUGGUUGCCUUCCCUUUUCGUUGUGCUUCCUUUGCAGCCUUUCUUCCUAUAGGUCACGCAUUCGGGUUGGGAACAACUUCAUCAACAUCUUUUUUUUAAGUUGAUAGGAGAAACAUCACAACUUGGUUGGGUAGACAUAUCUUCAUUGCCUCCCAUUGAUGUUGCCGCACUCGUCUCGACCGGAGGUGGAAUGUCACGAAAUGCUUGAAAACCUUGAACAACUUCAUAGCAAGCAAAACUUGAGAAAUCUUUUUGUCUCUUGAUUGAUUUCCCUUUGGACAUCGCUUGUUUCCAAAUCUCUUGUGCUUUCUUAUACUACAAAUUUAAAAACUACAAUUAAUGGGAUACAUGAAAUAGUAACUAAUUUAUCAAAAUAUCAUAAUAAUUAUGUAAACACGAAAUUAGUAACUAAUUAUUCAUACCUCAUCAAGUGGACUUGUACCACUCUUUACCCAAUUCUUAGCUUGUCGUAAUGCACAAUGCCAUUGAAACAAUUCGGGUUUCAGAAUUCUUCACCUCCCUAUAAAUGCAGAUGCACUUCGAUCGGUAGCAUCUGGUAAAUUUUCGAAUUAGUGUUUGCGGACAUUAUCCCAUAGCUCGGCUUUCUUUUGAUCUUUACCCUUUCCCGAAUCUUGGCUAAUAAACCUCCAUGACUUGCACAAUUGGAGGUCUUCCUCUGGACUCCAUUUGGGCAAAGUUGUGUUAAUUCCAACCAUGGUUGAAACAAAGGAAAAACCUAGAAGAUGAAAUCUAUGGAAUUUAAAAACUAAGAAAUUUUGAUGUGUGAGAGAAAUUGGUGUGGAAUGUGUAAAAUUUUGAUGGGUAUUUAUAGGGGAUUAUACAAAAAAUUUAAUAUUUUUGACUUUUUUUUCCUGCCCGUUGAAAGGGUUAAUUUUUUUCUUACCAUUAAUUUUUUGUUCCAAAAAAUUCCAAACGGUCGAAUUUUGUUUAAAAAAAAUUUAGUUGCAACGGUCAUCAAUUAUGGACCAUAAGAUCUGUCAAAACAUCUCAAACCAAUGGUCAAGAUCUGUGGACCGUUGCAUUUGAAACCUUUCUAGAUGGCCUCCAGUGUGCGACGCGUGGCGUGGUCCCCUUCUCUCUGUUGCGCCCACAAGUCGUCAUCACACGCACGUCGGUCGAUCGUUGCAGUUGGUUCGUGUGCGAAACACAGCUUCCAGGCUCAUGGGUCGGGGGAUGCUCAUUGCUGACGCAAGCCACGAGUUUGGGUCUAGGCUGAGAUGGAUCAAACUCACCUGGGUCACUCUUCUCCUCUCACCUGGGUUGAAUAUCUCCCCAACAAGCCACAAGCUUGGGUCUAGGCUGAGGUGGAUCAAACUUGCCUUGGUCACUCUUCUCCUCUCACCUGGGUUGAAUAUCUCCCCAACAAAGUGACUUGUGCUAGAAAAUGAGAUAACCCAUUUUAUGAGUGGAUUGAUGUUUUUUGGGUUUGGGUUAGAUUGCCUAUGUGGCUUCUAACCGGGGUUGAAUUUUUAUGGAUGGGUGUAGGGGUGGACUUUUAGGCACCGAAAAAACCGAAACCGGUUAAAACCGCACCGAACCGACACCGAGUAACCGAAACCGAAUAGAACCGAGACAAUCGGUUUCAGAAACCACACAAACCGAGAAAUGCGGUGUCGGUUUGCGGUUCCAUGCAUCCUAAAAACCGAUUAAACCGAACUGAACCGACAUAUAUUCAUUCUCCAUAUAUUAAUUAUUAAUACUUAAUUCUACAUUACGUGUUAUAUUCUUAUCGGUUAUGGGUUGUAAAUAGUAGGCUUUCACACACAUGAUUAUGUCUUUA